AUCUUGUAAAGCAGCAUUAAUGAACAGUUUGAAUAUUUCUUUUCAGUUACCAACCUAGAUCUCGGCAGGGAACAGGGCCGUGGAUUGCGAUGGAAUGAGAUGGAUCUGCAAGCUGAUCAUCAAACCAGUCAAGGUGUCUGCAGGUGACUUUGAUGGGUAAGGUGGAGCAGAGGCAACUCCCAAGAGCCUUCAAGUUCCCGUGAAGCACAAGCUACUCUGAAGCACUAGCCUUUUAAGUUCCCAACACAACUGCGAGCAAUAUCCUGAACAGAGCCUUCUAACUUCAGGUGAAGAAAAACAACAGAAGCAGAUGGGCUUGUAAACAGCAGAGAUCUGGCUCUCCCACAGAGGUCCUUGUGGAGCAGAACGGGAGACGACAGCAGACCUUGGGCAGUGCAAGUAUCAUGGAGAAAAGAGACCUCUGAAGGAUGGUUCCAGGUUGGGAUUUUAGAGGUUUGUGCUUGAGCGUGGGUUGAAGAGAUGGUGUUUUUAUUUUUCUUGGUGGUCGAUAGUGGAGAGAUUGCUGAGUCCCAAUGUAACAUGAUUAGGAUCUGGAACAGAUUCCCAAAAAGACAUGUAGGGACAACUGAAUACACAAAGCAGCUUGAAUAUACCUUCCACCAGAGUUCAUCCAGACCCAGAUAAAGCUUCUGAAAUGGACAGUGUUAAUAAAGUACACAUGUCUGGAGACCCAAAAUACAAGAAUAAAGUAGGAGGAAGAGAUAAGACUUCCUCCAUUUCUUAGAAAAGGAGAAAAUGCCAAAAAGUUAUCAAUUGUUUUCCUGAGAACGUCUCAGCUGGACAAGGUUAAGAUGAUCCCCAGAACCUGACACUUGCAGAACAAGUGGGCUCACUUCAUCCAUGCCCAAGCAGUUCUGGCAUUUCUAGGGACACCUGUAAUUCUAAAUAGUGCCCUUGGAGGCUAACUGAAAAUAUUUGGUAGGUGGGCUAGAGUGGGGUUUUAUUAUGUGGUUAGGUUUGUGUUGCUUUAAGCAUUAAUUUUGCCUGGCAAAGGAGUCUGUAGUACUGGGAACGACACCUUUACUCUACUUAGAUAUGGAGACUGAAAAUCAGCUGGGAAUGGCAAAAGGCCAUUGUCUGUUAUGGCAGAUAGAAAUGAACUCUGAAUUAAAAGUCUCUUUUGUUUGUUUUGGUCCCAAAAUAACUGAACUUGGCAUAAGGCCUGAUUCCCUAAGAAUGAGUGCUCAGCAGUUUUUUGACUCUCAGGCUGUCAGAAGGAAGCUGUCCGAAAUGCAAACUGUACCUGUCUGAACAUUGGUUUGCCUUAUUUCCCUUUUGUACUUUGUGCGUCUCAUUCUUCAGGCAGCUUUCCGGAGCAGAGUUACUCUUCCACUUGCUCCCUUUUGCCUCCUGCUGAGUCAAUUCCUUUAUUUUCCACCAUUAUUUGUACUGUAGUCACUCCUAGAGUCUGGGGGAGCUUCCUCAGGAGUCUCCUUGUCUCCUGAGCUGACUGCCAACUCUCCCACUAAAGCUUUUCAUUCAUUGUUAUAAAGAAGAAUACAAAGCCAGAAAAGUGCACGGUGAUACCCAUUCAGGUGCCAUUACCCUGUAAUUCCUUCAAAGCCCUAGAUGCAUUUCUAGUCGCUGAGAAGUGCUGGAGUGGGGAGCCUGUGGACUAAAUUGGUGCUAGCACAUGAAAGAGAAGCAAGCGCUGUGGCCUGGCAUUGGGCACCACGUUCUGGUUUUGGUUUGGACACUGACUCACGUGGUGAGCCCAGGGAAAUAAUUUCCCUUCUCCGUACACCUGUUUCCACUCCCCACCUCUAAUUGUCUCUCUGUUUAGACAAGGAGCUCUUCAGGACGCAGCCCGUCUCUCGCUGCAUGUACGUACAGCGUCUCAGCACAAUGGAGCCUUGUCUCAGCUGGGGCCUUAGGUGUUCAAGUAAUACAAACAAGAAUAAAAGGUAUGCCCAGACAGCAAGGCAAGCUUCCCAGACUUGCUGCCCUGCGAGCAGUCUGAAACCUGAUGUGCUGGGAGCUGUCUCUGUUCCCAGUCCUUGGCUUCUCUCAGCCAGCCAGCAAAGCGUUACCCAGUUCCAAUUACAAUGGUGAGGUGAACUGGCACACUCCCAGUUCCACUGGGAACCAGUGUGAAAUCACUAAACUCAUUUUGUAAACUCAAGCAGUGCCUGAUAGGAACCUCCAUCCCACACAGCUACGGACCUGCCUGGAGCUGCGCCACCUCCCUGCAGGUGAAAAGCUCCUUACGUCAGCCCUGAAGCUCAGAGCCAUCUCAUCCCACUCCCAGCCCACACUGCGUAGGCUUGAGCCUGCUCCAAUUUGCCAGCAGAGAAACGAGCAAAGCCAUUUUCUCCUUUCCACCCUUGUCUGAGGAGGUGUGUACAUGCCUCUCUGGCGUUUCUUCUUGUCUGCUGGCUUCUGCAGAGCCCCUUCAUCCCAUUGUUUGUUCGUUCCCUGCACUCCAUCCCAUCUUUUGUGUUCCUCCCUGGUUGAUGCAGCAUCUUGCUGGUCCUGCUUCACACUAAGAAGAGGGGUAUUAGAUGGAUUCCCCAUAGAGUAUAAAUUGAAUGGAGAGAAGUGGCUCGCUUCCCAGCAAUAAUUUAUCUGAUUAAAAAAAUACUCCCCUAACUCCCCUUCCUCUCCUGGUUCUAUGCCCCCUCCAAAAAGAACAUUGGCACUCAGGCUGCUGUUUGAACCGUACUAUUCAAUUGCUGGAAGGGGGGAUUUUGAUUGGAAAAUAACUGCCAAAAGACAUCUCUCUGGGGAAAAGAAGCGUGAGCUCUGAAAUGUGGAACAUGGGUUGUUGUAUGGAGGAGGCAGAGAGAGUAAAUAAUUCUGAGUCAAGUACCUCCAUGAUUUCUACCUUUGCCCUCACCUAACAAACAUCUUACACAGACGCUCACAGGUGCACAUGCACAAGCUCACACACGUGUGCCCCCGCACCCGCAUUUCAUAGGAGCUGUUAGCAGUAACUCCAUAGCACAGCAAGCUGUUCCUGCUGUUCGCUUUCUCCUCUCUUUUUUUUCUGCCUUCAUUCAGGGCUGUUUCCAAAUAAAAGGAGAAAUCUGCCUCAUAAAAUUUUUGUCUUCUUGUUUGUUACCUGUGUGGAUUUUAUUCCUUUCAAAUCAGGGCCAUCGAGGCUGGUGAUUUUCUUCUCCUUCCAAGGCCGACAUUCCUUUUCUUGCAUAAGCUAUUAUAACUGGGGAAUGGAAAAGGCGCCGUGACACCCCUCUUCAUCACAACAAUGCAGCGUAGGUGACCUGAACUGUGCUUUUCUGCCCAUCUGUAUUUCACUGUUGCCUUUUUCUUUGUGGGAGAGAGGCAGGUAUUUAACAUUUCAUACUACUCCCGCAGUAUGCAGUGAUUUAUAGCAGGAGCUACCUUAUUAAUGUCAAGGGCAGGAUUGCUACUACUGCCGUUCAGGCUGCAAGAGCAUAUGAAAAUCACUUAGUUAGCUGUGGCAUGAUCCCAGCACCGAGGGCUGUUGGCUGAUGGACAUUCCGCUCUCUGCUCGCAGUCUCCGCCGAGUCUGCCUCCUGGUUUCUGGGCCAGUGGGUGAAACGUGAACAGGCCCAUUCUGAGCUGGAGCUUUUCAGCCUCAGAGCAACCUUACGCCAGUCGCCAGGGCUCAGAUUUCCUUGCCUUUUGACAGGAGUACUGUUCAGAUGAAACCCCUCUCUGCUUCUUCUGCAGGAUUUACACUGCCACAAGUCUUCAUUUUUUCCAGAUGUUUUACCUAAUAAAUCAAGGAGUCUCAUCAGAGGAUUUGAAUCCAAAAGCUGUUACCAUGACUUCAAAGGCACAGGCUGGAGUGGAGAGAAGCAGCGCAGACAUGUUAUACCACUCGCUAGUAACCGAUCAUGGAAAUACACUCUGGUUCCAGGAUUUUUUCCUCUGGAUACCAAACUUACACUGUGAUUAAAUAAAAUGGUGCUGUGUUCCUUCAGCCAGCCUGCACUUAAAUGAGUUGAGCUGGAGCACUCGCAGGCUGUGUGGCUGGCAGUAACCGAGGCUGGGGCUGGUCCUGAGCAGAGGUGAGCUCUGCCAGCCCCUGCUCAAGAUCAGGGACUGUUCACUCGGGUUUGAACUGUCUCUCUCUUUCCAGGUCACUACGCUGCUGUGUAUUUUCUCUCUCUGCUGGUUUAAGUGAUUCCGCUGUAAAGGAUUCAGAUGUCCAUUCGUAUUCCUCAGAUGCCUGGGAGAGAAAAAGAUGAAAAGAGUCACAUGGCUGCAAAAUGUGAUUGUGAUUAUUCAUACUGGUUUGUUCCUUGAUCAAGAAUGUUACUAUUUUUUUUAUUUAUUUAUUUAUUUUUAAAAUACAGUGAACCCUUUCUUUUUAUGGGGUCAUUUUCUUUCACCAUUAGAUUUCUGAAGAUAAAUGCUCUGGUGUUUUGAGAAACUGUUAUGUGUGUGUUUCUGAUUGCUUGAUAGCUCGGUGUACUGAAGGAUAAUGUAAUGAAGCUGAAGACAGAAAAGAUGCUUCUGUGGGUAGGUGAGCUGAGGACCUACAAGGCUGGAUUUUGGUUCUGUGCUUUCCUGAAAAGCACUGGCCUGGCUCCAGCUGUACCCAGUGCUGCUCAUCAGAGAUGUCUGGCUGAGGCUGGGUUCUGCAGCAACUUCCUCUGGCAGCAGUGCCCAGGGCUGCCCUACGCUACCUUGCUGCAAAGGCAUGAGGAGCAGAGGCUGUGACAACCGCCUGAGGGUGCCUACAGCAGGUGAUGAGAGCAGAGACUUUGGCUUGCACUGCCUGAGGGUUCUGUUUGUUCCUGCCACAGACUUUAGAAAAAUUGCUGCUUAUCUUCCCUCCCCCAAGACGCUGAGGCCCAGCACCCCAAACUGUCAUGACUGCCUGGGAUUGGUGACAUCUCGAAUGAUAAGUGUUGGAUCAUCAGAACAGAGUGGGAGCAGCACAGCUUGGCUUUGGGAGCCAAAAAUAGGUACCCUGCUCAAGCUGUUCCAAUGGGAACAAGGCUCCUCAACACAACCAUGUACGCUGCUGAUUUGUCAGACCGUCUCUUUUGCUGCGUGCUGUUCCCCCAUACAUUUAACAAUGGAUUCCUUUGGACAGACAGAAGAUCCCCGCCGCUGUGAUUUGCUCACCCUCUGCUACAGAGUCACCCCACCCACCCCUGGCCCAGGAAGUACUCUGAGUGCAGAUGUCACCCACUGAUCGCUGCGUUGACACACAUUCUUGGUAUCAUUGCUUGUAGCCCCUUUUCCUGAAGGCAGGGACUGGUUUCUGUUGCUCGCCCUACUGUUCUGUUCCAUGGUGCGGGUGUUUUGCAGACUGCUUCUGACUACUACAGAUCUCUGCCCUACUCCCUUCUGUUGUAGACUUUUGGAUUAUUGUAUCUCUCUUCUCUCAGUCAACUUCAGUAUAGACACGGUGACUUCCCAGUGGUGUUCUAACUGAUCAGUUCACUGACUUCAGACUCUCAGAUUGAAAGUGGUCUCCAAGCGAGCUGCUGUGGCCCAGCACAUUCCGUGCUGGACUCAUGUUAAUUGAGAAUAAAAAAUCUACUUUUGAGUGGUUUGUUCCAAAACCCAGUCAAGAUCUGACCUGUCACCUGAGUUCAGUUAGUCUUUCAACACUGCAAAUAAGCUAUUCAGGUGAAAGAGUCGCAGAACUUUCUGUGUUCAGUCCUUCUGUACAUACAUCACAUCUGUCAUUUUUAGGUGGAGUGCAAGAUUUUUUACAUUUGUCACUUCUAACGCCGUUCAUCUCCUUCAACUGAAAACAAGUAAAACCUUUCAUGUGUCAGAACUGACCGUAGCCGACUACAAGACUGACUUCUUAAUUCUUCUGGUUUGGCAAUUGCUCACUGUGAGGUAUUUGCCUCACUCAGUGUCAGAGUUCUCACCGCUCCCUUCCGGCAGCAGGAGCCUGUGCUCAGCAUAUACUUCUUUGGGAGACUUCUGGAAGCACCGUACCCAAGGACUAUGACAUUUGCCAGAAAUUGGCACUUAAUACUUAAAAAGGGAGAGAGAAUAAGAGCAUAGGAGGGUCAGUACUUCCUAGAGUGACCUGGCAGCGUGAGAAGUAAUGUCUCACCAUAGGUACUGCGAUGACAACCCCAGCAGGACCAGAUGAGUGCUACCUGAUAUCUGCUCCCUGCCAGGUUGACCUUCUGGACUACAGCCUCUCUGGGGAAAGGCCGUGCUUUUAUUGUGUGAUCUUACGGUGUUAAUACAACAGGGCCCAACCUCAGGUGCAGAGGAGGCUGAUCCUGUUCACACGAGAGGGCAUGGACCAUAAGGCUCUUCUCUUGCUGGAUGUGCAGGAAGUCUCUCAGUCCAAAGGUGAGUUACAGUACCGUAGUGAGAAAUGGGAAGCUGGAAAAAUGAGGGCAUUGCCAGUGAGGGAGGAAGAAUUGAGACUCAAUUAUCAGUGUGUCUCCAGCACUGAUCUCGCCUGAGCGCAAGGGCUAUAUGACAACCACCAAAACAGAGACAAUUACCAAAUUAAGUGUCACUGAUAGCACUGUGAAUGCCUGUGGCACAGUGUCAGCCCAUGACAGGCUUCCGGAGAUGAAAUCUCACUCUGGUUAACUGAAUGGCAAAAAAUCCUGUUGACUGCAGUAACAUCAGGCUUUCCCCCUUGGGGGUUACCCAGAUUUCUCUCCUUUGGAAUGCACAGCCAGCCACAUCCCACAUUAUGCACAUUCCAAUAACAAAUAAAUUAUUCUUUUCCUUUAAAGUGUGGAUUGGAUUUGGUAAACCCUGCAUUUUGGACUCUAGGUUCCCUCUAUCUACAUCUGAAAUCCCUAAAUAAACAAACAUUGGAUUAGACCUCAACAGCUCCCUCCACUCAGCAACUGAAGCCUUUAAAAGCAUUUCACACCAACAGCUCAGCGAGUGUUUCGGGCUCUGUUAAGCACUGACUCAAGUGAAGGAACUCCAUCUUCCUCUCAAACUUCCCAGGGAACUACCCUUAGUUAUUGGAAGGUUAUCUGUCUCCAUUCAUGACCCUCCCUGACUCCAGCGAGGAGGUGGGAUUGUUUAGCUGUUGACAUCAGGAAUGACAUCGAUAUGUGCAGGGGUUAGAGGGUUUCUGGCACAUGGCCCACUAACCUAGAAUUUGCUCUGCAAAGUCAGGAAGAUUACUUUUCACCUCAGAGCAGUUUGCAAAACUACAUUGGUGACCAAUAAAUACGGAAAACUGGGGGAAAAAAAAAAUCUAGUCCUGACUGAAUGACGAAAGGCAGCAUCCCUUGCUGGGCACUAUGGUGCUGGAAUCAGCACAGAGACCUGUGCAGAAAUAAUCAAACAGGUCAUCGUUGCCAGAAGGUGUCUGUGGAUGUAGCUGAUAGCUCACGCAUACGGGAGGCAGCACAGCGAUUAAACUGAAGGUGAGUAUCUCACAGCUGUAAGUCUUAAACUUAAUGAGCCAGGUCUUUAUUCCUGCUGCAGCCUCUUCUUAUCCCAAAAUUGCCUUAACCAACUGCCAGAGGAUGGCCUGGUAAUGGGAAAUUCUAUAGAUAACAAUAAAGCGGUGUAACAGUUCAGUGUCACCUCACAUCCUGCUAAGCAACAGAGAAAUGAUGAUCAGAAAAAUGGACACAACCGGAGUGCCCCCGAAGAGUUGAAUCCUAAUUUCAUCCCCCCUCUUGCGGGCAGCAGAUAACCCAGUGCAAUUUACAGCAGCUCUGAAGCGGCUCCAAGUCUCAGCAGGAGUCAGAAAAGCUCAGAGUCGGCCUCAGGAGUGAGGAGUCGCGAAUGCUCAGUGAAGUUGUCGUCAUCGUUCCAUAACCUUGCUUCUGCACUGAAAAACAGUAGGCUGGUUUGAAAUAUGAAGCGCUCCAAGCAAAAGACAAGAUUUUAAUCCCUGAAAUGAAGGUCUUCCUCUGGAUCCCUCUCUGGAGAACAUUGUCUGUCUCCGGUCAUCAUGCCCAGACUCCCAAAGAAGGUACGUUUUGAAUUUAAAGCUGUACAGCGUCAAGGUGUGAAUGACAGCAUUAAAUCUUUGCUGUAAGGCUGAGAUAUCUCCAAGAGGAGAAAAACACUUUUUCCACUCAACCGUGUAGCAGCGGCUGAGGUAGAUGAGGUAAGUAUAUUGUCUCCAACUAUUAAAGGGUGAGGGAAUUGUUUAGACACGUAUAUUUACACAUUUGCAGCCUGAAGGUGGGUUUUUUUUUUUAAUUCAAGAAGUUCAAAGUUUAGAAAUGCUGGCAUUAAGGUGGCCCGUGCAACUGUAAUUUGUCCCCUUUGUGCACUUGCAUUAUGAGACACUAUUUAAUUGUAAUUAGAUCACACGCUGUUCUUUUGACAGGUUCCCGGCCUCACUCAUUGUACAAAAUAGUCUGCUCACUAAGUAAUAAUUUUAUUUUCUCCUCGCUCUUCACUGUGUGGCCCGUGCUUUAUUUACUGCUCACUAUUCAAAUAUUGUUCUGCAGACAGAUUUAUUCAUUUCCUCCUGGGCUUCUCCACGGUGCUCAUCACUAUGGUAUCCAAAUGCUUCACAAACUCUAAUUCAUUUUCUCAACACUGGUGCAAGAACUGGUAUUAUCCUCAUUUUACAGAUGAGGAACUUAGGCAUACAGACAGAACAGCAAGAAAUAUCUUUUAAUUGAAGAUAUACAAUUAGAAAUACCCACGCCCUGAUUUUGCCAGAAAACAGAACAUGGCAAAGCAUCUAAUUUAGUUAAAAGUUGAAUAAAUGCUCAUUUAAUGCAGUUAUGUCUGCAAGGGCUCUUCACUUUUGCAAAUCAGACCUCAAACUGUCAGAUCGGGCACCUCAGAAGUGAAGACUGCACAAUGAGUGAAGUCUCUGUUUAAUGCCCUAUGCUUUGCAUCCCAGAGGAGCUCGGAGGCUGAAGUCACCCACCACAGCCCCAGCUCCGUACUUCCUUUCCCUGCAGCUCCUCGCAAGGUACAUGAAACAUCUACCUCUGAAUUUGUAGUUAACUUCACUGGAAGUUGUUGAGGCCUUACCUUGGCUCCUUGGCCUUGGUUGGCAUCUAAGCCAGGCUUAUCCUUUUGCACUGACAGCUUUUAUUCUUGUAUUUCAGGACUGGGGAAUGUUUCAUUUUGCAGCCUAACUGCUGUUCCUCUAAUACUUGUCCAUUUCUCUUCCAUUUAAAGAUAGUGUAAAAACCGUCCCUGGCUUGACAUCGAUGCAGGCCAUCAACAAGGUGGAAACUCAUGCUGUAUGAGGAACGGAACAGUGUCCAUGCAGUCCAGCACUCACAGGAAAAGGAGUUACACUGCCCGUCCCGCCUUUCAGUCAGUGCUGCCAUUUCCAGUAUAAAUCACAGCGCAUUGCUGGUAAUCCUUCUGGCAUAUCAGAUAUCAGCGUAACUCGGCAAGCGUGAUAUGGGGAAACCCAAACAUCUUUCUGAGGUGGCAAUUAUUCCUCACAGUGACACUGCUCUGGGAUAUUUUUAGUGGAGGACAAACCACCUGUUUCCCAGCAGAAACACCGAACACAGUUAUAAAAGAAUGAAGCAAGUUUCACGAUGAGAAACAGCGGAGACACCUGGAUUCGCUGGCUCUCUGGAUCCACAGCGCUGUUUCGUUAGUCGUGCACAUCUCUGUGCACUCCUGCAUCCGGAGCAUGGCAACAUGUGUCGGCAUCUGCCUCGCUGAAAAGCCUCUAAACAAACAGAUCCACAAAUCCCAAUGGAUCAGGGAUGAUUCCAUGGGAAUACAGAGGUGCCCACAUCGAGGGGGACACCCUCGCCACAUGCACAGAAGGUGAUCAAAGUAAACUUCCCUGAACUCAGUCCUCGGGCCUUAGCAGGAGCCACACUGCAGUGGAAAAGCCUGGUUCUGUCUGGAACAAAUAAUUUAAACCAAUUUUGAAACAUUUGGUGGUGUAAACACACGUUCUGGGGGCUGUACCUGCGUUCCACGUCUUGCAGCGCCCCAGGGGUACGGGUGUUCCCCGGCUCCUGCUUCUGGAGCCCCGGUACUACAUCAUUAAUGGAUUGAAAGAGACAACUCAAUUAGUCAAGGGUAAAAUGAGCAAAGAGGCACAGUGUAAAAACACAACUUAGUGGGCAACAAGCUAAGAUGGAAAAAAAUACCAGGGUACAAUUGGUGUGAUGAGGAAGGGAUGCAUAUUUAUAGUGCUGAUUAUGUCCUUUGGAAGGAUGCAAAUCCAACAGUGAGACGAGGACCGGCUGGUAAGGAUGCAAAAUUCCAGCCACUGGGAUUUGAAUGGCAAAUGCUGUAUGAA